GAACGAGAAAGCCAGGGGCAACUUCUGUGAGUACAGUGGCGUACGGGUGAGUAACACGUGGGUAAUCUACCUCUUAGUGGGGAAUAACCCUGGGAAACCGGGGCUAAUACCGCAUAAGCCCGAGAGGGGAAAGUCGCAAGACGCUGAGAGAGGAGCCCGCGGCCGAUUAGCUAGUUGGCAGGGUAAAAGCCUACCAAGGCAGAGAUCGGUAGCCGGCCUGAGGGGGCACACGGCCACACUGGCACUGAAACACGGGCCAGACUCCUACGGGAGGCAGCAGUGGGGAAUCUUGCACAAUGGGGGAAACCCUGAUGCAGCGACGCCGCGUGAGCGAUGAAGCCCUUCGGGGUGUAAAGCUCUUUCGGCAGGGAAGAUGAUGACGGUACCUGCAGAAGCAGCUGCGGCUAACUACGUGCCAGCAGCCGCGGUAAUACGUAGGCAGCAAGCGUUGUUCGGAGUUACUGGGCGUAAAGGGUGUGUAGGCGGUCGUUUAAGUUUGGUGUGAAAUCUCCCGGCUCAACUGGGAGGGUGCGCCGAAUACUGAGCGGCUAGAGUGCGGGAGAGGAGAGUGGAAUUCCUGGUGUAGCGGUGAAAUGCGUAGAUAUCAGGAGGAACACCGGCGGUGUAGACGGCUCUCUGGACCGUAACUGACGCUGAGACACGAAAGCGUGGGUAGCAAACAGGAUUAGAUACCCUGGUAGUCCACGCCCUAACGAUGCAUAUUUGGGUGUGGGCAGUUCAUUCUGUCCGUGCCGGAGCUAACGCGUUAAAUAUG
rnacentral:rRNA from 1 species